rnacentral:rRNA from 1 species
AUUCAGUUUCGAUUACCGUAAAAUGAUCGGAGGAAUGUAGCUUCGAUCUCGUAUUGAAGUGUUAUAGCCUCUGGUAGAUGCGGUAAUUGAAACUGAGGAUUGCAACGAAUACCCUCUGGGCUAUCCGUCUGAUCUCUGAAAGUUGCUUAGGUGCUGAAAGCGUGCUUACGGUAUUUAAGUUGACGGUCAACAGGUUAGAACGUGAUUACAUUCGUUAAGGAUGUUGACGUAA